rnacentral:tRNA from 1 species
CUUGUAGCUCAGCUGGAUAGAGUGUUUGGCUACGAACCAAAAGGUCGGGGGUUCGAAUCCCUUCAAGC